GUGCUCACUUCAGUAGCACAUAUACUAAAAUUGGAAUGAUACAGAGAAAAUUAGCAUGGCCCCUGUAGUCGGAAGGCAUGCAAAUUCAUGAAGGUUCCAUAUUUUUU